rnacentral:rRNA from 1 species
UACGUAGGGUGCGAGCGUUAAUCGGAAUUACUGGGCGUAAAGCGUGCGCAGGCGGUUCGUUAAGUCAGAUGUGAAAUCCCCGAGCUUAACUUGGGAACUGCAUUUGAAACUGGCGGGCUGGAGUGUGGCAGAGGGGGGUGGAAUUCCACGUGUAGCAGUGAAAUGCGUAGAUAUCGGGAGGAACACCCGUGGCGAAGGCGGCCCCCUGGGUCAAGACUGACGCUCAUGCACGAAAGCGUGGGGAGCAAACAGG